GAUGAACGCUGGCGGCGUGCUUAACACAUGCAAGUCGAACGGUGAAGCCAAGCUUGCUUGGUGGAUCAGUGGCGAACGGGUGAGUAACACGUGAGCAACCUGCCCUGGACGCUGGGAUAAGCGCUGGAAACGGCGUCUAAUACUGGAUAUGAGCCUCUUCCGCAUGGUGGGGGUUGGAAAGAUUUUUUGGUCUGGGAUGGGCUCGCGGCCUAUCAGCUUGUUGGUGAGGUAAUGGCUCACCAAGGCGUCGACGGGUAGCCGGCCUGAGAGGGUGACCGGCCACACUGGGACUGAGACACGGCCCAGACUCCUACGGGAGGCAGCAGUGGGGAAUAUUGCACAAUGGGCGGAAGCCUGAUGCAGCAACGCCGCGUGAGGGAUGACGGCCUUCGGGUUGUAAACCUCUUUUAGCAGGGAAGAAGCGAAAGUGACGGUACCUGCAGAAAAAGCGCCGGCUAACUACGUGCCAGCAGCCGCAGUAACAC
rnacentral:rRNA from 1 species